AAGGUACUCCCUCCGUUCGGAAUUACUUGUCUCGGAAAUGGAUGUAUCUAGAACUAAAAUACAUCUAGAUACAUCCAUUUAUGUGACAAGUAAUUCCGAACGGAGGGAGUAUAUG
rnacentral:pre_miRNA from 1 species